UAGUAACUGGCGAGUGAAGCGGCAACAGCUCAAAUUUGAAAUCUGGCGCUCCCCGUCCGAGUUGUAUUUUUUCGAGAAUGCUUCCUGCGCGGUGCCUUCCGAUUUCCCUGGAACGGGACGCCAUAUAGGGUGAGAGCCCCGUCCGGUCGGUAACCAAGCUCUGUGUAGCACCUUCGACCAUUCUAGUAGUUUGGGAAUGCUGCUCUAAAUGGGAAGUAAACUCCUUCUAAUUCUAAAUAUUGGCCAGAGACCGAUAGCGCACAAUUACAAUGAUCUAAAGAUGAAAAAAGAUUUGAAAAGAGAGUCAAAUAGCACGUGAAAUUGUUGAAAGGUAAGCGCUUGGGACCAGACUUGGGCCUGGUAGUUCGGCCGGCCUUCUGGGCGGUGCUGUCUGCCGGUUCAGGCCGUCGUCAGUUGCCGGUCGGGGAGAAAGACAGUGGGAACGUGGCUCUUCUGAGUGUUAUAGCCCGCUGUUAUGCCUUUCCGGCGACUGAGGUUAGUGCAUCUGCGCAGAUGCUGGCGUAGUGGUCAUCGGCUACCCGUCUUGUAACACGGACCAUGGAGUCAUCCUGGCAUGCGAGUGUUCGGGUGUUAAACCCUUACGCGUAAUGAAAGUGAACGGAGGUGAUAUCUUCGGCACAUCAUCGACCGAUCCUGAUGUUCUCGGAUGGAUUUGAGUAAGAGCAUGUCUGGCUGGUCGCAACAGAACGUUAGCUAUGCUUGCAUAGGGCAAAGUCAGAGGAAACUCUGGUGGAAGCUCGCAGCGUGUUCUGACGUGCAAAUCGAUCGUCAAAUUUGAGUA
rnacentral:rRNA from 1 species